rnacentral:lncRNA from 1 species
UAAAAUCACCUGUAGGCUGCAUACAGUACAUUAUACUGGCGACAAGCUGUGUCACAGGAUUUGAUUUUCAGUUUCAGCAUCAGGCCUGAGGCUCUGAUCAUUGCCAGUUUCUCGUCAUAUUACAUCAGGAAAUGCCCAAAUUUAGCGAUUUUUACUCAGGAAAAUGUUAAGAUAUUUUAAAUUACAAAAAAAAAUAUUUUGUAACAUUUGUAACAACAUCUUCUCUUGUGUGUUUCCUGUCGCUAGUUGCCAAAGUUCUCAUUGAAGAGACAGUGGAUUCCAGGGAACUUGAAAUGAGAAGCGAAAUCCCAGCACAAGUUCCACAACAUGAGAAACAGCCUGAAGAGAAGCCAGUAGCAGCUGUGAGGGAGCCAUACAAAGGUACCAACAUACCUGUGAUGCUGGUGCAUACUGUACAUGUAGAAAAGGAGAAUACUGUAAUUUGUGAUGUCUGUAAUUGUAAGUGUGCAACAAUGCAACACCCUAAUAUUUCUGUUAUGGAAUUGUUGUGUUUUUAGAACCAGAGGUCAAAAAAACAGUGGAUGAAAAGGUUUCUGUGGGCUCUGUCCCAGGAAAAAAAGAUGUUCCUGUUUCCAAAGAAAAAGAACCAGAAAAGGUGAAAAAAACAGCUGCUGCUCCUUUACCACCUGCUAAGGUGCCAAAAAAAGAUGAGUCCAAGCCUGAGGUACCAGCACCGCCCAAAAAAGUGGCACCUGCAGCUAAGCCUGAGCUGAAAGUGGAACCUGAACCAAUACCUAAACCUACACCACCUCCUAAAUGGGAACCUGAAGCUAAACCUGCAUCUAAGGCUGAACCAGAGCCUGGAGCUCAGCCCGUGCUAACCCCACCCUUUAAAGUCCCAAAAGAUGCUUUAAAACCAGAGCCAGAAGGGAUCAAGUCUGAACCAACAGGAAUUGAACCAGAACCAAAAAAAACAAAACUAGAUGUCCAUAAAACUGUAAUAAAGGCAGAAUCUGUCAUAACUGAGCGAGAAGAGGCCCAUCAAACAGAACCUGCAAACAUUCCCAAGUCUGACAUGCCAUCAAAAAGAGCAGAAGCUGAAAUAAAAGUGUCAAAAGCAGAACGUCCAAAGACUGAGCCAGAACUGACAAUUACAGCAAAGGAAACUCCAAAUAAAGGUACACACAAUUGUUGGUGUGAUGCUGUAUCUUCUUAACUCAACCAUCCAGCAGUAACUCACCCAAGUAACGUAGUGUUUAAGAAUGUUUCUCCUUAGACCAGUUUUGUGUAAGCAAGCUCUUUCAAUCAUCGCUUCAUUGUCUCUGUCUGCCAUUGAGUCUGGUUGUUCCUGUGUCCAUUACUGAACGGUUCAUCUUUUCCUUUGAGCCACAAACAAGGAGCAGUUACAUUUACAAACGUCUGAUAUGUGGCAUUUUAUUUUAAAGUGCCAGCGAUGCCACCUAAGGAGGAGGUGGCGGCACCACCAUCAACACCACUCACAGCCCCUCAAACAGUAGAGAAAGAUGAAGCAGCUGCACAGAAGAAGCCUGUGGCCGUGAAAGGUACCUGUGUCAUCCCAGCACUCAUUGCAUUAAAAUCUACAGUGUCAGUCAUCCUACACCCAUUUUGACCUAUGUGCUGUUCAUCUAAUGUCUAAUCUCUUACUGUGAUGUCAAAAUCGAGCUGCACAUGAUGAGUCUUUUUGUCUUACACUCGAUAGAGUGGUGCUGUUUUUAAUUUCUAACAACACUUCCCUUAAUUUGUUAUAAGACUGCUAAUGUGCUGUCUGUGAAUGGUACUCUUUUAAGUUCCUAUUAAGGACAAAACACCUUGGUCUCCAAAAGCAUCCAAGACACCAGAACCUACUGUGAUUUUUCCAAGAGAAGACCCAACAAAAAAAGAUAAAGGUACUAGUGCUUUACAUGGAACUCAUUCCACUGAUGUUUAUAGCUUGUUAAUUUGUUUAAUUUAAGUCAGUUUAAGUUUUAACCAAGUGGGCCUCUUGCAGCCUUAUUUGUGCGCUAGCACA